UACGUGAUCCUCAAGCGUUAUCCGGAUUUAUUGGGCGUAAAGCGUUCGUAGGCGGCAAGAUAAGUUUCUGGUUAAAGCCCUUGGCUUAACUAAGGAAAUGCCGGGAAUACUAUCUUACUAGAGGGCAUUAGGGGCUGAUGGAACGGUCGGUGUAGGGGUGAAAUCCGUUGAUAUCGACCGGAACACCGAAAGCGAAGGCAUUCAGCUGGGGUGACCCUGACGCUGAGGAACGAAAGCGUGGGCAUGGAAGAGGAUUAGAUACCCCCGUA
rnacentral:rRNA from 1 species